rnacentral:lncRNA from 1 species
GAAGAAAAGAAGAGAAAGGGAGAAACGGAAAAAGAAGAGGAAAGAAACAAAGAAGAGGAAAGAGAGAAGAGGAAAGAAAGAAGGGAAAGAGAAAAGAGGAAAGAGAGAAAAGGAAAGAGACAAGAGGAAGAGAAGGAAGAAAGAGGAAAGAGAGAGCAGGGAGAAAUUAUCCUAGAGAGAAAAUUAAGUGAGCCACACAUAUUGUAAACACUAAAGUUGUAGCCCUAUUAUUUUACAUAGUGGAAAAGUUACUACUGCUGCUCUCCGAGGACGUAGGCAUAGCCGAACCUCGUUAAAUACUAUGUCUCAUCUACUUUACGUGCAGCUCAAUAUCCGCACAUAUUCCAGGUUAUUUUACAACACGUUAUCAGCACGAGAAGCUCUCAGGUAUAAUUUUUGUGCUGCACUAUUAUUUAUAUUACUAACCACUAACAAAAAUGGACUCUUGGUAAUACUAAACAUAUUAUCAGUGGGAGACCGUUACUAAUACUAACACUUUCCUUAUUUUGUUCAGUGGUGGUUUUUAUUCCCACAUUUAUUUUAUUUACUGUAUGGUGUAGGUUUAUUACCCAUACAACAGUAUUUAUUUAAAAGGGUGGUGCGGGUUUAUCGCCCACGCCUUUUUUUUUAUUUAAAUGUAUGGAGCAGAAUUAGUGCCCAUACAAGCACGUUUACUUUACCGCAUAUUUAAUUUAUUUAAGGUAUGGUGCGGGAUUAACGUCCAUACAGCAAGCUAUAUAAUUUAUUUAAGGUAUUGUGCGGGAUUAACGUCCAUACAGCAAGCAAUUUAAUUUAUGAAUUUAAUUUACUGCACAUUUACAUUUAUUUAAAAGGGUGGUGCGGGUUUAUCGUCCACGCCUUUACUUUUAUUUAAAUGUAUGGUGCGGGUUUAUUGUCCAUACCAGUAAUUUAUUUACCAGCAAUUUAUUUUAUGGAUUAAUUGUGCUGUAUGAUGAGUUUUUACAGUAUGCAGAUCAGGACCAGAAGUUCCUUGAUCCUCAUCAUACAAUUAAAUCAGGACUUGAAGAUCCUUGAUGAUGAUAUUAAUAUGAGAGCUGGCAGUCUCUCCGGUACUGUAUUUGUAAACAUAUGAUCGAAAUUAAGGGUCCUUGAUCCCUGACAUGUAAAUAAGGACCUAGAGUUCCUUAAUGAUGUAACAGUACCGUAUUGGUUCAUAGUGCCGUACACAUUGAUGAUAACUGUACUGGCAGAUGAAUAGAUACGUAUUCAUGACUUGAUGAAUAGUACUAUUCACAUGAAUAGUGACGUAUGCAUAAAUAUGAACCAUUUUGGGUAAACCGUCACUAUAUACAAAAGGGAACCUGCAGUUUCAUGGUGCCGUACACAUUGAUGAUAACUGUACUGGCAGAUGAAUAGAUACGUAUUCAUGACUUGAUGAAUAGUACUAUUCACAUGAAUAGUGACGUAUGCAUAAAUAUUAACCAUUUUGGGGAAACCGUCACUAUAUACAAAAAGGAACCUGCAGUUCCUUAAACUCAUGGAUGAGCAAUUAAAUGAGAUGCCAGAAGUUCCUCAAAAUAUGGACAAUUAUGUAAGGGCUUGAAGUCUCGAAAUAUGUACAGAAAAUUGUAAAAAUGUCCAUACCAUGAGCAUGUAUGGCUUUGGCCUGAAGUUCAAAAUUUAACAGUGUUGAGAACCUGAAGUUCCAACAAUUAAAUGGACAACCCUUGAGGUAUUAUUGCAAAUUGUGGUAUGCCACAUAUUUCUUUGGCAUAAGAAGAUGAUGAAUUUAAAGUUCGAUUUUGUUAUAAUCGACACCUCAAGGAAGAAAUAUAUUUUGUGAAUUCCGGUUGUUAAGAAUACACCGCGAAAUGGAUAAUAUCAAUAUAAACCUCAAAUAAUGAAUUGAGGCUCCCCACAUAUUUUGUUAUAUCUGGGCCGGAAGCCCAUGGAUCCAAAUAUAUGAGAGAUCCUGAACUUGAAGUUGUGGGUAUAUAGUAGUUAAUGCUCUUCACUACUAUAUUGCGAUAUUAUCAUGGCUUUUACUCAAUUCACAUUUCAUGUCCAUUUGAAAAGGGCAAAUAAAUUCUAAGUUUGUGCCCAGGCCAAAAGUUUCGGGCUACCAUGCAAUUUGGGAGAGACAAUGUGGUUAUUUGAACCUAUAAGGCACAAGGUUCCAAACCGUCAUUUUGAAAAGACGUAAAAACCACAGGUGCAAGUUUAAGAAUGUGCGCAAUUAUUAUUACAGGAACAUACAACAGAUAGAUUUUUUCCACCUGCAAUGAAGGUGCAGGCCCUGUAAAAUCUAUAAAAUUACAUUAUGUUCUGGAAGCCUCUGAAGGAAGCCAUUUUUAAGAAGGUUUCGAAGAAAGUCUUAGGAAAACUAAAGUUUCAGAAAAUGAAGAAAUUUGAGUUGAAACGCAAUUGCUCCAAUCAAGUUUUGCAAAGGCAAUAUCUAUAGACGAAAAUAUGGCAAUAUCUUCAUGAUUCCAAUAUCUUCUCGAAUCCACAUAUUAUCUUUUUCUUUCCCAGAGUCCAAAACUUCACGUGGCCUCUAAUAAUGCCCGUCGGCACUUUCGGCGUUUUCAAGUAUUAUUUUCAAAGCCGAUCUUCCUUUACGGAUUUCACGGAGCUACUUUUUCAAAAGCAUCCCGAGAAUCUCGCAAUUUUCCUAUGGUUAAUUUGAAAUUCACCGGUUCUACCUAUUCAUUGUAUUUGUGUAUAAAUGUGUUACUAACGAAAUUUUCUUUGCAGAAGACAUCCAGUUUACUCCAUUCCUAGUGAUGCGAUAUCUACUUGUUUUCUUAUCAGUAAGCACUUAAUAUGCCCGAGAAGCAAGACUAUCUCUGAUCAUCCAUUCAGGAAGCAAGACUAUCCCUGAUCAUGUUUCCGCUAUAUCAGGGAACUGUGAAGGCGACCUUAUGCUCUAAUCUCCUGAGGUCCUUCUAGACUAGGAGAAAUGAGAGCUUGUUGUCUGCUCCCACCAGCUUCCUUCCUUGAUUGCUUACCUUACCUUGCAAUCAAUAUCACAAUCUUUUUGCAUUUUUUCUCUUUUUAUAACUCUCUGUUCAUAAGAGAUUUUAUUUCUCUAGAAUGAACAUCUGAAGAAUGAAUCCAUGAAGUAAUCCUAACUAUGAAGGUUAUUUGACAGAGGCAAAAGAGUUGUGAUUUUUACUCUUGCAGGAUAUAACAAGAUCAUCAAGCGAUACUUUAUAUUUACUGGGCCGAUACGAGCUUGAAUGAUACUUGAGAAAAGUUUCUCCCACCUAAGGAUGUAAGCAAUACUUGUGUUAUUUUAUGCUUAUAUACCUAUUUGAUAUUUUAUCUUGAAAGGUAACCAAAUGGGGAGAUAAGUCCGUUCCAAAAGAAUGACUUGUAUGUAUCCAUGAAUUAUUAACGCAAAUUUUACAGAUUGCAAGUUGGAUACAUUGAUAAUACACUGCACAGAUUAAAGUCCCAUAAGAACAAAAUAUGGGUAUAGCAGUGAUCAAUAUGAUGCACGCCUGUUGCGUAGCAAAUGAUGUGGAUUGAAGUCCCGAAGGACAAUCCUUUGACAUGUCAAUAUUGAUAUUAUGCACGCCUAAUGCGUAGCAAAUUAUAUGGGUUAAAGUCCCAUAAAUUAAUUGACAUGUAUGUAUUAAUCUGUGGCAUGCCUGCAACAUGACAGAUAUAUGGGUUCUAAAUGUUCCAACUCUCUAAAUGAAGAAUAUCCAUGCCCUACUAUAAAAUAACGCUCCAUUGGAGGUUAUAAUCCACAUUCUCACAUAAUAAAAGCCCCCUACAGUGGCUUGGGUACCCAAAAGCAAAGAAAUGCUUAUAAUUGAUGCAUGCGCAUGCAAAUGAGAAUGGUGGGAUCAUGAAUUGAUGAAUGACAAUUUUUGGUUUUGGAGUAGCUACUCAAAUCAUCAAUGGGCUGUGUUGAUUGGAACCAUGUUCAAUUAUUAAAUGUCGACAAUAUCACUGGCCAAAAUGGAAUGAGGUAAUUCCAUUAUAGAUAAGAAUGAACGUGAAGGAACAACCCACAGUACGAACCCCAAAAUUUGUUAAUACUGAAAGUUAUACUUGGGUGUUCGGAAUAAAAGGGAAUAUACCUACUUUGUAUGACACACUGUUUCUGGCAGAAACAAGGAAUGUUGGGUUUUCUCCAUAUUUACAGAUUCAAUUGUGCCCCCCUUAUUACACAAUUACGGAGACCAACAUAUUAUCUUUAAGGGUUAUUAAAUGCACAGAGCAUAUCGCCAGAAGCGAUUUCCUAAAGAUGUAUAAAUAGCUGGGUUAAAGCUAUAUAAUGUGUCAUAAAGUUUAAUCCCUUUUAAACAAAAUCCGUUGAGAGGAUUGACAUUGCAUAAAGCAAGUCCCUAAAGGACAUGUGCUUGAAGCACAAAAUUUGUACUCAAUAUUAAUAUGCAUAAAUUACCUCAGUGAGUACAUUGAUUAGAAUGUGAUUGCAACACAUUAAAACUUCUGCAGAAUUCACGAAAUAUUUGUCUCGACUUAAGGAUCGAGCAUUAUGCCAACGAGAUUCUUGCUUAUACUAAGAAAGUAUUGAAGCAUUUUUAUGAGGAUUAUCCGUUGGACACUUUAAGGAUUUUCCGGAAGUAUAUUGGACCGGACAUCAUAUUUUCCAGAUAUGGCUCAACUCCAUCACCAUCAUUUUGGGAUGAUGUGAGGUAGAUUUGAUGCUAUCUCCGCAUAACACCAUGUAUGGGCAUAUUCUUUCAUAUGAUCUUACAAAUAGCCCAAGUUUUGUUGGAAACGCGGACUCUGAAAAUUUCUAUGAUUUACAUAGAGAUAGCUCACUGGAAAUAUAUUUACUAUAUGAAUUGUUGGUGGCUACAUCAUUCACUCACUCCGAAAGAUUCUCACUCCAAAGAUAGUUAUGAAGACAUCAGGGGGAGAUAUUAAUCAGGGGGAGCAUCCAGAAGUAUGCUAUACAGAUUGUUGUACUCUUCUUUCUUCCUUCCAUCAGUUUUCUACCUCACUAGGUUUUCUCCAAGCAAAGUCUGAUGAAGCAACUGACAUAUUAUUUGUGGUCUCCAAGGGGGAGUGUUGUAAAGUAUAAAGUAGUGGAGCCCACUUACUAUUUGUUUGUAGACUUUGGUGCAUGAUUGUAUUGUAGAUUCACAGGUGGAUUGUAGAUUCACGGGUGUUAUCCACCCUUUCCUUAUAAAAGGCUUCUCUCUUAUGCAAAGAGAGAUAGAAGAGAAGAAAAGAAGAGAAAGGGAGAAACGGAAAAAGAAGAGGAAAGAAACAAAGAAGAGGAAAGAGAGAAGAGGAAAGAAAGAAGGGAAAGAGAAAAGAGGAAAGAGAGAAAAGGAAAGAGACAAGAGGAAGAUAAGGAAGAAAGAGGAAAGAGAGAGCAGAGAGAAAUUAUCCUAGAGAGAAAAUUCAGUGAGCCACACAUAUUGUAAACACUAAAGUUGUAGCCCUAUUAUUUUACAUAGUGGAAAAGUUACUACUGCUGCUCUCGGAGGACGUAGGCAUAGCUGAACCUCGUUAAAUACUGUGUCUCAUCUACUUUACGUGCAGCUCAAUAUCCGCACAUAUUCCAGGUUAUUUUACAACAAAAAC